rnacentral:tRNA from 1 species
GCCAUUGUAGCUCAGGGGCAGAGCGGAUGCUUCGUAAGCAUUAGGUCGUGGGUUCAAUUCCCACCUGUGGCU